GACGAACCGUGCAAACGUUAUUCGGAAUCACUGGGCAUAAAGGGCGCGUAGGCGGCUUCCUAAGUCAGGGGUGAAAUCCGGCAGCUUAACUGUCGCAGUGCCUUUGAUACUGUGGAGCUCGAGGGAGGUAGGGGUCUGUGGAACUUCCGGUGGAGCGGUGAAAUGCGUUGAUAUCGGAAGGAACGCCGGUGGCGAAAGCGACGGACUGGAUCUCUUCUGACGCUGAGGCGCGAAAGCCAGGGGAGCAAACGGG
rnacentral:rRNA from 1 species